UGCGCGCCCGCAGAGAGAGUCCCGGAGCCGUAAGGCUAAAUGCGCUGCCGGGCGUGGCUGGGCCUUGAGUAAAUGCUGGAGGGAGCUAACCCGCCUCUCCCUACCGCUGGCGAGGAGACAGCUAUCUCCCCUUGCCGAAACAAUUCAGAGGCGACGCUGUGGAUAAUUCUGGAUGGGGUCUUUAUCAGACUCUCAAUCCACCGGAAAUGGAGAGGACAGAGGAACAUGUUAAAACACAGUGGAGUUCUUCAAUUUCUCUGCUUCCUGAAUGCCAUGAAGUGAGCAACUUUUCCUCCAGCAUAACUCUUUGCCAUGACAUUCUGCCUGGAGCCAGCAGACCACGGACUGAAAGAUGAGCUAAAAUAAACCUCUCCUCCUUUAAGUUGUCAGGUAUUUUGUCCCAGCAAUGAAUAAAGUAACUAAGAUAGGCAACACAGUGGUUUAUGCAUUCAAAAGAGCAGUUUCAGUAGCACGACUGGGGGAAAAGUACGAAUAAAUAGAAAACAGAACGGGAGC
rnacentral:lncRNA from 1 species